GACGAACGCUGGCGGCGUGCUUAACACAUGCAAGUCGAACGGAAAGGCCUUUUCGGAGGUACUCGAGUGGCGAACGGGUGAGUAACACGUGGGUGAUCUGCCCUGCACUCUGGGUUAAGCCUGGGAAACUGGGUCUAAUACCGGAUAGGACCGCACUUUAGUGUGUGUGGUGGAAAGUUUUUUCGGUGUAGGAUGAGCCCGCGGCCUAUCAGCUUGUUGGUGGGGUAAUGGCCUACCAAGGCGGCGACGGGUAGCCGGACUGAGAGGUUGGUCGGCCACAUUGGGACUGAGAUACGGCCCAGACUCCUACGGGAGGCAGCAGUGGGGAAUAUUGCACAAUGGGCGCAAGCCUGAUGCAGCGACGCCGCGUGGGGGAUGACGGCCUUCGGGUUGUAAACUCCUUUCGCCAGGGACGAAGCGUUUUGUGACGGUACCUGGAGAAGAAGCACCGGCUAACUACGUG
rnacentral:rRNA from 1 species